GACGAACGCUGGCGGCGUGCUUAACACAUGCAAGUCGAACGGAAAGGCCCUGCUUUUGUGGGGUGCUUGAGUGGCGAACGGGUGAGUAACACGUGAGUAACCUGCCCUUGACUUUGGGAUAACUUCAGGAAACUGGGGCUAAUACCGGAUAGGAGCUCCUGCUGCAUGGUGGGGGUUGGAAAGUUUCGGCGGUUGGGGAUGGACUCGCGGCUUAUCAGCUUGUUGGUGGGGUAGUGGCUUACCAAGGCUUUGACGGGUAGCCGGCCUGAGAGGGUGACCGGCCACAUUGGGACUGAGAUACGGCCCAGACUCCUACGGGAGGCAGCAGGGGGGAAUAUUGCACAAUGGGCGGAAGCCUGAUGCAGCAACGCCGCGUGCGGGAUGACGGCCUUCGGGUUGUAAACCGCUUUCGCCUGUGACGAAGCGUGAGUGACGGUAAUGGGUAAAGAAGCACCGGCUAACUACGUG
rnacentral:rRNA from 1 species